CUAUUAUUAAUGAUUACCUAAACUAUAUUUUUUUUGUUAAUUCAAUCAUUUUUUAUUUUUUUUGGAUUUUAUAUAGGCUUUUUUUGAAUAUAUAUCCAAACUAACUAUUAUACCUAUCCUAACCUAAACUAACCUAACAUUCCAUUUUUUAUGUAGGCCUACAUUAACUAUUUUUCUUAAUUACAUUUUUUUGUUAUUUUUCAAGGAUGUGGAGGACGAUGAGGAAGAGACGGCCGGGGAUUGAGACCUAGAGGCUGUAGAAGAGGCUGUCGAGGAGGCUGUUGAAGAGGCUGUUGAGGAGGCUGUCGAAAAGGCUGUCGAAGAGGCGAGUGGAGAGGCUUUCUGAAGGAGGCUGAGGUUCUAAAUGAGCUGGAGCAAUUUGGUGGUUAACUCAUUAUUCAUUGAACAGCAGUAAUUAGAGCAUUGCGGAGAAAAUCUUCCUAGUUGAAUUACGUUCUUUGAGCAACCUGGAAGGUAAAACUAGUACUUGUCUAUAAAUCAGCUUGUUUUUUGGAAAAGUAGGGAGUUUGAAGUUCUAGACUUAUCUGAAUUUCGUAAUCAUUCAUUGUAUGUUGGUUGGAACAAAAAGGGUUCAUUGUCGAUUUUGGUCAACAGCUGAGAGAGUUUACCUCGACCACAUAGUAGACCCUCUUUACCACUCAGCAAACUACAACAAAACCUCCCAACAACACCAUACAGCUUGAGCCAACAACUUACAACAGGUGAUCACUGGGGGGGGGGCGAAUAAGCAAACAGUGUGAUUAAAAUUAUUUGGGGGAGGGGUCAAAACAAUUAUUGGUGGUGAAUAAAAACAUCUUGGUUGAGGGGGGAUUUGUAUACUGUAUUUGAGGUAUUCUGGGGAUUGGACAAAUACUUUGAAAUGCAAAUACCUUGACUGGCCCACACAGGUGGCCUCUGCCUCAAGGCGGCCUCGGGCGCCUCAAGGCCGCCUUCAGGCCUCAGACUCACAAAGUGUGUGGAACCGAUACUUACAUCACAUUCAACAGUUUCUCAUCACAAUGAUACCUCUACCACAACUGGUCGACAAAGAAAAUUUCCCCAAACCCUAUCAUCCAAAAACCUUGGAGCAUUCAAUCCUCCAUAUUCAUGAUAAUGCAGCAACAUCUGAACGUCCAAACUGUAGAAAUUCCUCUCAGAGAACAACAAAAGCAAGUCAAGAAUGAACCAAUUUGUUCCACCCAACAUACAAAAGUUACUCUACCAUAAAAAAUCCAGUUCAAUCUGUUUAAAAGCAAUGUAUUUGUCUGGUACAAUGACUGUACCAGAAAUUCAUCUGAACCUCCCUCAAAUUUAUGAAAUAUCCUCUGCUUUGGCCAUCAAAAGAUCAACUGAUUUUUUGAAAAAUAUAUUUUGGCCUAUCAGACUUAUCAGUCAACUAGGCUGAAAUAAGGAAACCUGUCCAGGAAAUGCUCAAUAGUAAUUCAACUAUUCUUGGAUGAAAGAAGUUUUGGUUCCUGAAUCAUGCAUGGUUGGUUAUAUGAUUACUGUUUACUGUAAAAGACUGAAAAUAUUCCUAAUAAUUGAACCCUACAGAUCUGUUUUUCUUUUUGGAGGACUUUGUAUUAAUUAAACUAUUCAAAAUGACAAAUUCAGUUGAACUAGAUAGUAAAUAGAAAUUGUGGGCUCUCUGAACAAUCUUGACAAAUAUGAAGCUAUGAAACUUAUUUACUGUGAAAAAAAAAAAUUUCCCCAAAUAGUCGAAUAAUUUAAACAGUUUUAGGAUAAUAUGGUAAAAUGAUAUUGAGAGGGUAUUAAGGUCAAGUCAAGGUCGAGUCGUGGCCAAGUCAGAGUCAGUCAGUGGUCAAGGUGGAAGUCAAGAUUGAACCAGAGCCUCAAUUUUCUACUUGAAACAUUGCAAUUAUCUGUCUUGGAGUUUGCAGACUUGAAACUGCAAUUAUCUGAAGGUAGAGUGCUUUCAUUAUUCUAUUGAUUUAUGGGAUUGGCCAAUGCUA